CGUAAACACAAAUACUGCGAAAACUACGUAACACGGUGGCGCCAUCCAUCAUGCGCCAGCCAAAAAGUUGAAUGCGGAGGCAAGGCCAAGCCAAGUACGGCACACUGCCGUCAUUCGCAACCGCCGGAAGCGGAACAUCGUGCGCGGACGAUCGUUGAUGAAGGAGGACGAAGUGGUCGUUGUAAAUCUCGUGAAUGCACGUAGUCAGGGUUUUGAUGCCAGAGCUGACUGAUGGGUUCACGUGGUUCCUUUGAAAAAAUAAACGUGUUUUGAUGGCAGAGCUGACUGAUGGGUGCGCAUGGUUCCUUCGUAUGUUCUUCCUUUGAAAAAAUAAAUGGGUUUUGAUGCCAGAGGUGACUGGCGCAUUUUCAUCACUAUGUACAUAGAAAAUAAAUCACAAUGUGACAAACAUCACAAUCUGUUGCGCAUGGUCAUUGCUUAAACUGCUCUCAUU